GAGGGUACAGCUCAAGUGGUAGAGCACAUGCUUAGCAUGCAUGAGGUCCUGGAUUCAAUCCUCAGUACCUCCU
rnacentral:tRNA from 1 species